rnacentral:rRNA from 1 species
AGAGAGAGACAUGCGCGCAUAUCAAUAAGCGGAGGAAAAGAAACUAACUAAGGAUUCCCUCAGUAACGGCGAGUGAAGCGGGAAGAGCUCAAAUUUGAGAUCUUCAAGGUUCUACCUUGACGAAUUGUAGUUUAUAGAAGUGUUUUCUGUAGUGGAGUUCGGUAAAAGUUCUUUGGAAUAGGACAUCAUAGAGGGUGAGAAUCCCGUAUUUGACCGUUACUUUCCAGCUGUGUGAUACACUUUCAAAGAGUCGGAUUGUUUGGGAAUGCAGUCCAAGAAUGGGUGGUAAAUUUCAUCUAAAGCCUAAAUAUUGACGAGAGACCGAUAGCGAACAAGUACCGUGAGGGAAAGAUGAAAAGAACUUUGAAAAGAGAGUUAAACAGUACGUGAAAUUGUCAAAAGGGAAGCGUUUGACACCAGUGUUGUUUUUCCGAAAAUCAAUUACGAAUGUUUUAGUUUUUGAGGAGUUAUGACUUCAUCGGCUUGCUCCUUUCUUUACGAAACUUUCUUAAUGCACUUUUCGGUUAACAAGUCAACAUCAAUUUCUUUUGUUGUAAAAGGGUAUGAGGAAGGUGGCUUUCUUUUCGGAGAAAGUGUUUAUAGCCUUGUGCCUCUGCAAUCGGAGAGAUUGAGGUCUGCAGCGUAGAUCCUUCGGGGUUAGAUACGUUUGUGCUAAGUUAUAGCUUUUCAUAGACAACUUGUUGACUAUGUUUAGUCUUGUAGCUUACUCGCUGACGCUAUUUUACCUACGCUUAGGAUGUUGAUAGUCACAGCGUGUAC